rnacentral:RNase_P_RNA from 1 species
GGGAGCAGGAGGACCGCUGACAGGGUUGGACCCUGAGGAAAGUCCCCUCUCCAUAGUGCGAGCGGCCCGGGAUGAUCCGGGUGUCCGGGAGGGCAGGCACUGCAGCAGAAACGAACGGCAAUGGGUGUGUACAAUGAUGUCGCAAGACGGAGAUUGCCCAACUGUCGAUGAAACGAGCACCCCCGCUGGAGCAAGUCCAAACAGGCCCUUUGAUGCUGCACGCGUAGGGCCGGGUAGGACGCAUAGUUGAAUGCGGUCAGCCGAUAGGUCAACAGAAAGGGGCUUACUCCCUGCUCCC